rnacentral:rRNA from 1 species
AUGAAGAUAGACAUAGCGAAAGCCUUCGACGCUGUCUCCUGGGAGUAUCUUCUCGAGCUGAUGCAGAAGCUAGGGUUUAGCGCACGUUGGCGGGACUGGGUAGCGCGCCUUCUUGCCACGGCCUCUUCUUCGGUUUCCCUAAAUGGC